CCUACGGGUGGCAGCAGUCGAGAAUCAUUCACAAUGGGGGAAACCCUGAUAGUGCGACGCCGCGUGGGGGAAUGAAGGUCUUCGGAUUGUAAACCCCUGUCAUGUGGGAGCAAAUUAAAAAGAUAGUACCACAAGAGGAAGAGACGGCUAACUCGGUGCCAGCAGCCGCGGUAAUACAGAGGUCUCAAGCGUUGUUCGGAAUCACUGGGCGUAAAGCGUGCGUAGGCUGUUUCGUAAGUCGUGUGUGAAAGGCGCGGGCUCAACCCGCGGACGGCACAUGAUACUGCGAGACUAGAGUGAUGGAGGGGGAACCGGAAUUCUCGGUGUAGCAGUGAAAUGCGUAGAUAUCGAGAGGAACACUCGUGGCGAAGGCGGGUUCCUGGACAUUAACUGACGCUGAGGCACGAAGGCCAGGGGAGCGAAAGGGAUUAGAUACCCGUGUAGUC
rnacentral:rRNA from 1 species